CAGGUUAAUUACUGACAUUAAUUUCGUAGUCACGCGAACGAAGAUUCUGAAUUAAUUCAAAUUAAAUUAAGACACCUUUUUCAUUAAAGUACACAAAGUAAGACGGUCAUAAACCCAAGAGGGAUGUUUUCCCAAACCAUUUCAUACUUGGACGCAGCACUGAUCCUUCCUGUGAGAGCACGAUUCGUCGGAAGUACCGUAGUUGAUGUAUGCUAAUGGGAGAGUUGGGGGUUGUAGCUAGAUAUUUACGUUCAGUGGGAGCCGCCCUUCAUUCACCCACAUGGUUACCAACUGGUCGCCUUCGCGCCACUUUCUUAACCCCGCAAUCAUUUUCAACCCGCCUGCCCGAGCACCAAAUCCACGCACGAUCGGCUCGGGUUACACUUUAGCUUGCGUUUUCACGCCGCGAUUGAAAAGUUUUCGGGAUAGUUGCGCGUUUAUCCCCCUCUUUUGUCGGCUACAGACCGCACGGCAGCCCGAGCAAGUGAGCGAAGAUGGUGGAUUUCGGCUGCUGCAUGAAGAGCUGGACCCCCAGGAAAGGACCACCUUUCCCAUGGUGCUGGAUGCCGGCGCUGUCUAAGUAUUGCCAAAGUGCUUACAGUGCAGGUGGGGAUCAGUAGCAAUGCUGUGUAUCUGGAGGUAUUGCACUUGUCCCGGCCUGUGUAGGAACAGGAAGAUAGAGCUGAUCUGGAUUCUGACCUGAAUGUUGGCUGAAAAACUGAUGCACACUGUCAUGUUUGCCUUUGCCUGAAAUGAAAUGAUGUCUUGUGUGUGGAUAACUGUAAUGUUGAUUGAAAAGGAUUAAACGUUUUCCACUCUUUA